rnacentral:rRNA from 1 species
AGAGUUUGAUCCUGGCUCAGGAUGAACGCUAGCGGCAGGCCUAAUACAUGCAAGUCGAACGGUGAUAGCAAUAUCAUAGUGGCGCACGGGUGCGUAACACGUAUGCAACCUACCUAUUAUUGGGGGAUAGCCUUUGGAAACGGAGAUUAAUACCGCAUAAUACGAUUGACUGGCAUCGGUUGAUUGUUAAAGCUUUGGCGAUAAUAGAUGGGCAUGCGUCCAAUUAGUUAGUUGGUUAGGUAACGGCUGACCAAGACGAUGAUUGGUAGGGAAUCUGAGAGGAUAAUCCCCCACACUGGCACUGAGAUACGGGCCAGACUCCUACGGGAGGCAGCAGUAGGGAAUAUUGGGCAAUGGGCGGAAGCCUGACCCAGCCAUGCCGCGUGCAGGAAGGAGGCGUUAUGCGUUGUAAACUGCUUUUUUAUAGGAAGAAGGAUCCCUUGCGAGGGAAGGUGACGGUACUAUAAGAAUAAGCACCGGCUAACUCCGUGCCAGCAGCCGCGGUAAUACGGAGGGUGCAAGCGUUGUCCGGAUUUAUUGGGUUUAAAGGGUGCGUAGGCGGUUUAUUAAGUCAGUGGUGAA